rnacentral:rRNA from 1 species
UACGUAGGGUGCAAGCGUUUGUCCGGAAUUAUUGGGCGUAAAGAGCUCGUAGGCGGUCUGUCGCGUCGGCUGUGAAAUCCCGGAGCUCAACCCCGAGCCUGCAGUCGAUACGGGCAGACUAGAGUGCUGUAGGGGAGACUGGAAUUCCUGGUGUAGCGGUGGAAUGCGCAGAUAUCAGGAGGAACACCGAUGGCGAAGGCAGUUCUCUGGGCCGUAACUGACGCUGAGGAGCGAAAGCGUGGGGAGCGAACAGG